GAUGAACGCUGGCGGCGUGCCUAACACAUGCAAGUCGAGCGAUUCUCUUCGGAGAAGAGCGGCGGACGGGUGAGUAACGCGUGGGUAACCUGCCCUGUACACACGGAUAACAUACCGAAAGGUAUGCUAAUACGAGGUAAUAUGCUUUUAUCGCAUGGUAGAAGUAUCAAAGCUUCGGCGGUACAGGAUGGACCCGUGUAUGAUUAGCUAGUUGGUAAGGGAACGGCUUACCAAGGGGACGAUCAGUAGCCGACCUGGGAGGGUGGUCGGCCACAGUGGAGCUGAGCCACUGUCCAAACUCCUACGGAAGGCAGCAGUGGGGAAUAUUGCACAAGGGGCGAAAGCAUGAAGCAGCAACGCCGCGGGAGCGAUGAAGGCCUGCGGGACCUAAAGCUCUGUCCUCAAGGAAGAUAAUGACGGUACUUGAGGAGGAAGCCCCGGCUAACUACGUGCCAGCCGCCGCGGUAAAAC
rnacentral:rRNA from 1 species